rnacentral:rRNA from 1 species
CCUACGGGCGGCAGCAGUGGGGAAUAUUGGGCAAUGGGCGAAAGCCUGACCCAGCAACGCCGCGUGAAGGAAGAAGGCUUUCGGGUUGUAAACUUCUUUUGACAGGGAAGAGCAGAAGACGGUACCUGUCGAAUAAGCCACGGCUAACUACGUGCCAGCAGCCGCGGUAAUACGUAGGUGGCAAGCGUUGUCCGGAUUUACUGGGGGUAAAGGGCGUGUAGCCGGGCUGACAAGUCAGAUGUGAAAUCCGGGGGCUCAACCCCCGAACUGCAUUUGAAACUGUUGGUCUUGAGUAUCGGAGAGGCAGGCGGAAGUCCUAGUGUAGCGGUGAAAUGCGUAGAUAUUAGGAGGAACACCAGUGGCGAAGGCGGCCUGCUGGACGACAACUGACGGUGAGGCGCGAAAGCGUGGGGAGCAAACAGGAUUAGAUACCCCAGUAGUC